UGCGUGCGUGUGCACGUAGUCGUUGAUGGAGGCAGGAAGCGAGAAGGAAGCGGGAAGGUGGAAGAGAUCGGAAGAGUUUCAAACAAGGCCCGAUUCUCCUUAGGUCAGCUCGAUUUGCUCUCUAAUCCUGGGCGACGCAGGGUUCAAGGAUCUUCUGAAUCUCAUCGCAUUGUAGGAACUCCUGCUGUACUCAGAGAAUGUUGUUCAGAAGGGGAGACAGGCAAUAAAUAUAAGAUGAAGUUAUGAGGAGAGAAGCUAUUCAUAGCUAAAACUCUAGCUAAAAUGGCUAUUAUUUAUUGCACGGAACUGAAAUCGGAUGAAGUCGAGAAACCCAACGUACAAACCCAGAAGCUGAGAUACUACACAAGCGGACGUAUUUCAAGGACAAAUCCAAAGAAUCAAACUUGGUCUGUGACUAGAAUGUACACCAUCGUCUCUCCUGAGUCUCCAGCUUGCUGACUGCAGAUCUUGGGACUUGCCAGCCUUGAUAAUCACACCUUUGUACCAGCCAGACACUUUCCCUGGUACACUCUUCCCAGGGCUCUUUCCUCAGCAACGAGAUGUCAGCUGAAAUGCUAGCUCCUCAGAGAGACUUUCACCAGCCACCUUCUUAAAGUGAGUUUCCCUGCUCUACUUCAUCCUACUCUGUGCCGUAAUCCUUUAAUUAGAACUAUUUGAAAUUAUCUGGCCUAUUUAUUUAUUUGCUCUCUUACUAUCUCCCCCCUCAGAAUGAGAGGAGACACCUUAUCUACUUUUUAUACCCUGGAUCCCAAGUAUCUAGAAGCA